GGAGCAAGGAAACAUUCUGAGGGCAUGUUAGUCUAGAGGCUUUUGUUAAAAAUAGGUAAUAAAUAAAAUCUGACUUGGAACAAGAACUCAGUUCCUUUCCUUUCAACAUGAGACUGGAUUUAUUUCUGCUGUGAUACCUACAAGAAACCAACCAGCUCAUGAUGACCAAGAGGAGUGGCCAGUGCAGGCACACAGGAGAAGGAAUAAGGAUUGGUAAUUGUUUGGGUACUGUGACGGGGCUCCACUCACCACGCUGGUGCCUCCUGCUGGCUAUCUUGGAGAAUUAGUUCCACAGUGUGAUCAGUGUCUUCAAGAACAGCAAACCUACCCUUCAGGAAAAAAGUAAAGCUUUCCUUAUCUUCCUCCACUGGGAAAAUCCCAUUAUCCCACAUCAGAAUGCAUCCAUCUUGCCAUUUCAAGUUCCAAACACACAGUAAAGUAAGGUAAGC